AACGAACGCUGGCGGCAUGCCUAACACAUGCAAGUCGAACGAGACCUUCGGGUCUAGUGGCGCACUGGUGCGUAACGCGUGGGAACCUGCCCUUAGGUUCGGAAUAACUCGCGGGAAGGGGUGCUAAUACCGGCUAAUGUCUUCGGACCAAGGAGUUAUCGCCUUUGGAUGGGCCUGCGUUGGAUUCGCUAGUUGGUAGCGUAAAAGCGUACCAAGGCGGCGAUCGAUAGCUGGUCCGCGAGGAUGAUCAGCAACACUGGGACUGAGACAAGGCCCAGAUAUUUGAGGGUGGCAGAAGGCGGGAAUCAUGCACACUGCGUGAAAGAAGGAGCCCGCCAUGUCGCGUGACUGAUGAAGGUCUGAGGGAUGUCAAGCUCUUUUACCCGGGCUGAUAAGAACUGUACAGCAAGAAUAAGACCCGCUAAACUCCGU
rnacentral:rRNA from 1 species